UUCUAUCAAACUUCGCAAUUUUUCAAUUAGAUUACAAUACCAACUGGUCAACAGAAACCUCCAACCCUUUAACAUUUUCUCAAUUGCCUGCAUCUGUGCAUGUGUGUGUAUGUGGGAAAAUGUUGUGGACACUAUAUACAGAGUACUAUUUCGGAUAUUAGUCUGAAACUUGUUACAAUAAUAAAUCACAAUGCAUGAUGUCUAGUAGGACUGAUAUUGGCCCUGUAGUUCUUUUGAAGACUAAAGUUGAAAAUGUGAAAAGAAUACAGACAAUGGACAACUUCAAUCAGAAAAGUUCACUGAGUUUUCAGUUCAGAUGAGUCAAAACCAUUGAAAACUGGAAAAAUAUAAAAUUGAAAGGGAGAAAAUCAAUGAACAUGCACACUUCUGUUAGAAAGUGUCUAAAAGCAAAUAAUCAAAGCUUCAAAAUUGAAAAAAAUUCACUGGUACUUACCAUAUAUUUAAAUUUUAAGUAAAGAAAACAAGAGAAAACAACAUGUAAUAUAUAAUAUGUCACAGCGAUACCUACAGAGCUGAGUUGAGGGGGCUCUGGAAAUAAAUUCUAAUUCACUAGUUAGAAACAUGGGCCUAUGAACCUUAUUUUGUAAAUUGUCAAUGUAUUUUAAUACAUGUACUCAUAUAAUAAAUUGCAGCAUAUACAAUAAUAUCCAUCUAUAGGUGACUUGAGAUAGUGUGAAUUUUGAUCUCUCAAUUUGAAAGUUCUAGAUCUCUUGAAGUGAAGUCUUAAGCUCAAGGUUUCAAUUUUUCCUCUAUUAAGCAAUGCAUUUACUCUUGAACUCUCUUGAUCUCUUGAAGUAAAAUUCCUAUUUUAUUACAUUUCAUUCUUAAAAACUUGGAAAUAUUGUUUAUGGAGCUGCCAAUCAAGAUAUUCCAUGUGAAAUUUACCUGGAAAAUUUAAAUAGCUUGGGCAUAACAUGGGCGGUAUGUACUGUUAAUUGAGUGUUUAAUACAUGUGGCCCUUCCCUGGUGAUAUCCUACCUGGUCAGUGAAGGCGUUAAUUAGGCAAUUAAGAUAAUGAAUAAGUUAGCACUGAAUAAGGUGUGAAACAUGGACAUUAGUUUCGAUACUAUAACUUUGAAAUGUGAAAGUGAAACUAAGAAUUUUGAGAAGAUAACGAAGAGGAGUGUCAACUUUGGCUAUCAUAAAAUUAAAAUCAAAAUCAGAUUUUGUCACAACGUCAUUAUGGAAAGUAUCAUUCAACAACUUCUCACACAAGUACUGAGUAGCAACACCAAGCCAUCUAUCAGUAUUCAAGAUUUGAAAUAUAUUGUUCAGAUUGCCAAUUUCUGGAUUAAGUCAAUAUAAAAAGCUAUAAUUUGAGUUAUUAUUUAUCCUUAUAGUCCUCUAUAUUCUAGCUGUUUAUGGAGAAUUACAAGUUAUGGGAGAUAAGGAAUGAGGAUAUAUUGCAGCUAUUCUCUACUUGUUAGCUAAUGAUUAAAGACAGAGAAAGUUUCAGUUGUCUUAAUCAUACGAAGCUAAGAGAACAGUGAUGAUGUCUACUGUAUCCACUGUUACAGUACAUUUGAGUUUUCUUAACAAUUUGAAUGACCUUCCAAACAUGGAAUCCAAAAUGUGCAGCAGAAUGUGUUAGAGCUUUGUGGACUAAUACAACACUUAUCAUGCAAAUUAGCAACAGCUGUUCACAUCUAUAAGAGAGACCCAUGGGCCUUAACAGUCACCUGAGUAUCUACAUUUUUCACUCUUUAGAAAUAUUUGUCUUACCUAUGCAUUUUUUAUACUUCUCCACUUUUAUACUUUGUACUAGAUGAUAGAUAUAUUGGUAUAACGAUCAGACACAACUGAUGAUUCAGAAUUCUUUGAUAAUAAGUGAGAAUUAUCACAUCACAACAGAUGAAAUUUUCCAUUUUAGUUCUAAAAGGCAAAUUAUGUUUUCAAAGAGGGUCCAUAUUGCUCAUUACAGAUAAUCAUGCAAACAGUUUGUCUGCUUGAUGUCCAGGAGAAGAGAUUUUCUAAAAUAUAUUGCAUUUUCAACAUAUGAUCAAGUAAGCCCCAUUCUGGGACCUGAACCCAGGGAUCACAAAAUUCACAUUGCUCAUCAUAAUCAUACAAACAGUUUGCCUCCUUGAUGCCCAGAAGUAAACUAAGAAGUUUUUCUAAUAUAAAAAAACAUAUUUUCAAAAUGACAAACAUUGCCCUACCCUGGGACUUGGUCCCUGAACCCAGAGGCCAAGAAUUUCAUAAUUUCACCCAGGGGCCAAGAAUUUCACAAUUUCAUAGAAGGCUCAUUACUUAUUAUAAUUAUGUAAACAGUUUUACUGCUUCAUGUCCAGGAGUACAGAAGAUUUUUGAGGACUGCAUUAAUUUUAAUGCUUCAUAGAUAUACAUGUACUGAUGCUUUUAGUGAAAAUAUGUGCUUUGAAAUAUUUAUAUUACACAUCCUAGUAACAGAGUUCUCAUUUGAGCAUUCGAUACUCGGACAUUCGAUAGAGUACCCAGUUAAACAGGUACUUGUUGACAU